rnacentral:rRNA from 1 species
UACUCCUACGGGAGGCAGCAGUGGGGAAUUUUGGACAAUGGGCGCAAGCCUGAUCCAGCCAUGCCGCGUGUCUGAAGAAGGCCUUCGGGUUGUAAAGGACUUUUGUCAGGGAAGAAAAGGCUGUUGCUAAUAUCGACAGCUGAUGACGGUACCUGAAGAAUAAGCACCGGCUAACUACGUGCCAGCAGCCGCGGUAAUACGUAGGGUGCGAGCGUUAAUCGGAAUUACUGGGCGUAAAGCGAGCGCAGACGGUUACUUAAGCAGGAUGUGAAAUCCCCGGGCUCAACCUGGGAACUGCGUUCUGAACUGGGUGACUAGAGUGUGUCAGAGGGAGGUAGAAUUCCACGUGUAGCAGUGAAAUGCGUAGAGAUGUGGAGGAGUACCGAUGGCGAAGGCAGCCUCCUGGGAUAACACUGACGUUCAUGCUCGAAAGCGUGGGUAGCAAACAGGAUUAGAUACCCUGGUAGUCCACGCCCUAAACGAUGUCAAUUAGCUGUUGGGCAACUUGAUUGCUUAGUAGCGUAGCUAACGCGUGAAAUUGACCGCCUGGGGAGUACGGUCGCAAGAUUAAAACUCAAAGGAAUUGACGGA